AUCAAAAUGAAAUUUACCAUCUACCGUUUUACUACUUUAACGUUCUUUACACCUAUUAGAAAUAAAAAGCACUCAGUACACGACAGCUGUUUUAUUAUUGUUAGCUUUACAUGCUAAGCACUUUCCAGUGUUGAUGACAUUUUGUCCACGCAAUGCCAUGAUGCCGGCAGUGUUAUGUUAUUUUACACGUGGGAACUGAGGUCAAACAGGUGAAGUAACUUGGUCACAGUCACACAGCUCGUGAGUGGCAGAGCCAGGUGAUACAAACCAAGCUGAGGAUUCCAAAACACAUUCUUGAUGAGAAAUUCCACUCCCUCCUGAAAGGGUAGAGGUGUGCGAUGGGACUAUUGAGGGAGGACACUUAACCCAACUUGGGGCUUCUAGAAGGACAUCCAAGAGGAGCUGAUGGUGUCAGAAGGAGCUGAAAGGUGGGAUGCCUACCACAGCAUGGCUUGCCAAGCGGUGCCAUGUCCACACCUGGGAUCCAAACCGUCGAACCCCGGGCCACCAAGUAGAACGUGCGAACUUAACUGCUGUGCCACCGGGCCGGCCCCCUUUUUUUUUUUAACAAGAAGAUAAACUAAUCU
rnacentral:lncRNA from 1 species